GACGAACGCUGGCGGCGUGCUUAACACAUGCAAGUCGAACGGUAAGGCUCCAGCUUGCUGGGGUACACGAGUGGCGAACGGGUGAGUAACACGUGGGUGACCUGCCCUGCACUUCGGGAUAAGCCUGGGAAACUGGGUCUAAUACCGGAUAGGACCGCACCGUGAGGGUGUGGUGGAAAGUUUUUUCGGUGUGGGAUGGGCCCGCGGCCUAUCAGCUUGUUGGUGGGGUAAUGGCCUACCAAGGCGGCGACGGGUAGCCGGCCUGAGAGGGUGGACGGCCACAUUGGGACUGAGACACGGCCCAGACUCCUACGGGAGGCAGCAGUGGGGAAUAUUGCACAAUGGGCGGAAGCCUGAUGCAGCGACGCCGCGUGGGGGAUGACGGCCUUCGGGUUGUAAACUCCUUUCACCAUCGACGAAGGGUUUCUGACGGUAGAUGGAGAAGAAGCACCGGCUAACUACGUGCCAGCAGCCGCGGUAAUACGUAGGGUGCGAGCGUUGUCCGGAAUUACUGGGCGUAAAGAGCUCGUAGGUGGUUUGUCGCGUCGUCUGUGAAAUUCCGGGGCUUAACUCCGGGCGUGCAGGCGAUACGGGCAUAACUUGAGUACUGUAGGGGAGACUGGAAUUCCUGGUGUAGCGGUGAAAUGCGCAGAUAUCAGGAGGAACACCGGUGGCGAAGGCGGGUCUCUGGGCAGUAACUGACGCUGAGGAGCGAAAGCAUGGGGAGCGAACAGGAUUAGAUACCCUGGUAGUCCAUGCCGUAAACGGUGGGCGCUAGGUGUGGGUUUCCUUCCACGGGAUCCGUGCCGUAGCUAACGCAUUAAGCGCCCCGCCUGGGGAGUACGGCCGCAAGGCUAAAACUCAAAGGAAUUGACGGGGGCCCGCACAAGCGGCGGAGCAUGUGGAUUAAUUCGAUGCAACGCGAAGAACCUUACCUGGGCUUGACAUAUACAGGAUCGCGCCAGAGAUGGUGUUUCCCUUGUGGCUUGUAUACAGGUGGUGCAUGGUUGUCGUCAGCUCGUGUCGUGAGAUGUUGGGUUAAGUCCCGCAACGAGCGCAACCCUUGUCUUAUGUUGCCAGCACGUUGUGGUGGGGACUCGUAAGAAACUGCCGGGGUUAACUCGGAGGAAGGUGGGGAUGACGUCAAAUCAUCAUGCCCCUUAUGUCCAGGGCUUCACACAUGCUACAAUGGUCGGUACAGUGGGUUGCCAGUCCGUGAGGGCGAGCUAAUCCCGCAAAGCCGGUCUCAGUUCGGAUCGGGGUCUGCAACUCGACCCCGUGAAGUCGGAGUCGCUAGUAAUCGUAGAUCAGCAUGCUACGGUGAAUACGUUCCCGGGUCU
rnacentral:rRNA from 1 species